UUAAUAUUGUUUUAUACAUAAGCUUACCAUGGCAUUGCCAUUUUUUUCGUUUUUGGAGCACAGGUAUGAUUCUGGAAUUUUUGUGAUCCAAUAUAUGAGAUGCUACAAUGGAGUUGAAGUACAACAAUUCUCAAAUGUUGACUUGCAAGCAAUUCGUGAAAAAGUCUCAUGCCAGCUAGUGAUAAACAAAUUUAAUGAGCAACAGGUGCCAAUAGCACGAGAAUUCAUUUCGAAGCAUGCUCCACAUCUUCUUCAUUGAUUAAGUUAGCAAUUUAUUUU